AGUGGAAUUGUUGGGUCAGUUCCACUGUUUGAAGAAUUGUCAGACUAUUUUUCCACAGUGGCUAUACCACUUUACAAUCCCACCAGCAGC
rnacentral:pre_miRNA from 1 species